rnacentral:rRNA from 1 species
GAGUUCGUAGGUGGUUAAAUAGUUGGGUGGUGAAAUCCCAGAGCUUAACUCUGGAACUGCCAUCAAAACUUUUUAGCUAGAGUAUGAUAGAGGAAAGCAGAAUUUCUAGUGUAGAGGUGAAAUUCGUAGAUAUUAGAAAGAAUACCAAUUGCGAAGGCAGCUUUCUGGAUCAUUACUGACACUGAGGAACGAAAGCAUGGGUAGCGAAGAGGAUUAGAUACCCUCGUAGUCCAUGCCGUAAACGAUGUGUGUUAGACGUUGGAAAUUUAUUUUUCAGUGUCGCAGCAAAAGCGAUAAACACACCGCCUGGGGAGUACGACCGCAAGGUUAAAACUCAAAUGAAUUGACGGGGACCCGCACAAGUAGUGGAGCAUGUGGUUUAAUUCGAAGAUACGCGCAGAACCUUACCAACACUUGACAUGUUCGUCGCGACUCUAAGAGAUUAGAGUUUUCGGUUCGGCCGGACGAAACACAGGUGCUGCAUGGCUGUCGUCAGCUCGUGUCGUGAGAUGUUGGGUUAAGUCCCGCAACGAGCGCAACCCUCACUUUUAGUUGCCAUCAUUAAGUUGGGCACUCUGAAAGAACUGCCAGUGAUAAGCUGGAGGAAGGUGGGGAUGACGUCAAGUCCUCAUGGCCCUUACGUGUUGGGCUACACACGUGCUACAAUGGCAUUUACAAUAGGAAGCAAAAUGGCGACAUUAAGCAAAUCCUAAAAAAAUGCCUCAGUUCGGAUUGUACUCUGCAACUCGAGUACAUGAAGCUGGAAUUACUAGUAAUCGCGGAUCAGCGCGCCGCGGUGAAUACGUUCCC